rnacentral:lncRNA from 1 species
GUCCUUGCCCCCUCCAUUGAGUCCGUUGUGCACUGCCACAGGAUUGCAAGUGGCAAUGGACGGGUGACAUAACGUUGGGUCUGCAGCUCUGAACCACCCAGAACUGAGGAAGGGGAUGGUGUUUAAAGCAGGGGUUUGGGGCUAGGCCUGUCUGGCACUUCGAGUGAGCCCAGAACAGGGACCAGCUCUUGUCCCCUCUUCGCAGAGGCCCAGGAUGUGGUUUGUGUAGGAGCUGAAGGCAUGUGAUGCCUUCUAGCUCAUGUUUCACACCUGCCUCUCUUGUCUUUUCAGAUGCGCUGGCUCCCUCCCUCAGAGGCUGCUUCUCAGGGCUGGAAGUCCCGUCAGUUCUGCUGAAUACUGUGACAUGCUGUGGUCUCACUGAUGCCCUCCCAGUGACUGCGCCAAGCCUCGGUGCAUUCUCCUUGUCCAGCUGAUUACCAUCUCAACUAUACUGCAUCUUACUGGCCUUGAAAGUGCCUGCAGUCUGCAUCCCUCUCAGAACCAUCCCUGCUAAGAAACCAGAGGAUAUACUUCAUUUAGAGAGAGACAACCCUAAUAAGCUGGUGUUUUCUCAGCUGAAAGAAUGGCUCGGUCACACUGCCACUGAAUGUUGUGCAGGGGUAGUCAAAGCUGUAACCCGACUCAUUCAGCAUGGCACCGAACUAUUCAGUAAAUCUUCCAGAAGCCUGGCCUCAAGUCACCUGUAGACAACAUACGCCACACGUCUGAAGAUCCUUGUGUGCAUACGCAGAGAGGUGGGAUCACCUCUGCUUAGGACCUUAGUGAGACAAUUACUGUUACUGUGUCCCACGCCGAUGUCUCUCACUGCAAAAAGGAUGCUGAGAAAUUGGAGAGGGUUCAGAAUGAUCUGCACUCUGGAAAAACCUGCCUUCAGAGAAAUACUAAAGCAGCUCAGACUUUUAGUUUAUUCAAGAGAAGGUUGAGAAGUGACUCUCACUGUCUGCAAGUACCUGGAUAGGGAGAAGCUUUCUGAUAGGAGAGGACUCUGACCUACAGACCAAGGCAAAACGAGAUCCAACAGCUGGCAGCUGAAGCUUGACAGUUCGGACUGGAAAUAAGGGGCAAAUGGGAUGGUGAUUAACUGCUGUAACAAACUACCAAGGGACGGGGUGGAUUUUCCAGCACUUGACAUCUGUCUCUCUGGACUCUCUUUGUAAAAUAUAUGCUCUGGCUUAAACGAAGUUAUAGGCUGGAUGCAGAGAUCGCUAUGUGAGGUUCUCUGGCCUGUGUUGGACAGGAGGUCAGGCUAGACAAUCACAAUGGUCCCUUUCUGGCAUACAGAAUACAGCUUGCACAGAAAGCAAGGAGGCUCCAUUCUCCCUGAAAUGCAUAGAUCCUUCCUUACUCUCUACAAUACGCAUGUCCAAACACAACAAAAAUGUCUUAUUAAAAGUUAAUGAA